GGGGCUAUAGCUCAGUUGGGAGAGCGUCUGGGUGGCACCCAGAAGGUCGCCGGUUCGAGCCCGGCUAGCUCCA
rnacentral:tRNA from 1 species